AGAGUUUGAUCCUGGCUCAGAAUGAACGCUGGCGGCAUGGAUUAGGCGUGCAAGUCGAACGUGAAGCUCCAGCUUGCUGGAGUGGAAGGUGGCGAAAGGGUGAGUAACCCGUGAGCAACCUGCCCGAAAGCCCGGGAUAGCCCAGGGAAACCUGGAUUAAUACCGGAUGUGGUCAUCAUAUCGCAUGAUGAGGUGACUAAAGUUUUUUCGCUUUCGGAUGGGCUCGCGCACCAUCAGCUAGUUGGUAAGGUAAUGGCUUACCAAGGCUACGACGGUUAGGUGGUCUGAGAGGACGAUCACCCACACUGGGACUGAGACACUGCCCAGACUCCUACGGGAGGCUGCAGUCGAGAAUCUUCCGCAAUGCGCGAAAGCGUGACGGAGCGAUGCCGCGUGCAGGAUGAAGGCCUUCGGGUCGUAAACUGCUGUCACUCGGGACGAAUUUUGACGGUACCGAGAGAGGAAGCACCGGCUAACUACGUGCCAGCAGCCGCGGUAAUACGUAGGGUGCGAGCGUUAUUCGGAUUUAUUGGGCGUAAAGGGUUCGUAGGCGGUGAGGUAAGUUUGAUGUGAAAUCUCAGGGCUCAACCCUGAAACUGCAUUGGAUACUGCUUCACUUGAGUAUUGGAGAGGUAAGCGGAAUUCCUGGUGUAGCGGUGGAAUGCGUAGAUAUCAGGAGGAACACCGAUGGCGAAGGCAGCUUACUGGACAAUUACUGACGCUGAGGAACGAAAGCUAGGUUAGCUAACAGGAUUAGAUACCCUGGUAGUCCUAGCCGUAAACGUUGUUCACUAGAUGUAGGCGGAUUGGUCCCGUCUGUGUCCAAGCUAACGUGAUAAGUGAACCGCCUGGGGAGUACGGCCGCAAGGCUAAAACUCAAAGGAAUUGACGGGGGCCCGCACAAGCGGUGGAGCAUGUGGCUUAAUUCGAUUCGACGCGAAGAACCUUACCUGGACUUGAAAUAUACGGGACCGCCCUAGAAAUAGGGUUUCUGCUUGCAGUCCGUAUACAGAUGCUGCAUGGCUGUCGUCAGCUCGUGCCGUGAGGUGAGGUUAAGUCCGGCAACGAGCGCAACCCACGUCAGUAGUUGCCAUCAGGUAAUGCUGGGAACUCUACUGAGACUGCCCGUGUCAAGCGGGAGGAAGGCGUGGACGACGUCAAGUCAGUAUGGCUCUUACGUCCAGGGCUGCACACGUGCUACAAUGGCUGGUACAAUGGGUCGCCACCCCGCGAGGGGGAGCCAAUCUCCAAAACCAGCCCCAGUUCGGAUCGCAGUCUGCAACUCGACUGCGUUAAGUCGGAAUCGCUAGUAAAGGCGUAUCAGCAACGACGCCUUGAAUACGUUCCCGGGCCUUGUACACACCGCCCGUCACAUCAUGGAAGCCUGUUGCACCCGAAGUCACCGACCCAACCCGCAAGGGAGGGAGGUGCCGAAGGAGUGGCCGGUAACUGGGAUGAAGUCGUAACAAGGUA
rnacentral:rRNA from 1 species